GGGGCUGACUUGGAUUUCGACAGAUUUCUUGUCGCACAGACAGCAUGCCAAGCGCUGCUUGUAAAACAGCAACAAAAAUAACUGUAAACAACACAGAUUACGCUCCAGCUUACGCUAAAGCUGCGUGAGUUAAUCUCCUUUUGGAGCUGGACUGAUUAGAAUUUCUAGCGUUUUAAUCACUCCAUAACCUUAAGCUAGACGCUUUUAAAAGGUGGUUCGCCUUUUAAACUAAGAAACAAGAACUCUUGAAACUACCUCAAGGUUUUAGAAAGUUGGACCAGAGCUAGUUUUAAGGCUAAAAAACCAACCAAUUUUCUAAGCAUUGUAGAAGUUUGUGUUUAGGGCAAGAUUUUUGGACUGGGGUUCGAUUCCCCACAGCUCCACCA
rnacentral:tmRNA from 1 species